UACGAAGGGUGCAAACGUUGCUCGGAAUUAUUGGGCGUAAAGCGCACGUAGGCGGCUUAGCAAGUCGGAAGUGAAAUCCCUCGGCUCAACCAAGGAAGUGCUUUCGAAACUGCUGAGCUUGAGUACUUAAGAGGAUCGCGGAAUUCCCGGUGUAGAGGUGAAAAUUCGUAGAUAUCGGGAGGAACACCAGUGGCGAAGGCGGCGAUCUGGGAAGAUACUGACGCUGAGGUGCGAAAGCGUGGGGAGCAAACAGG
rnacentral:rRNA from 1 species